AAUGAACGCUGGCGGCGUGCCUAACACAUGCAAGUCGGAUGUGCCGCAAGGUGCAUGGCAGACGGGUGAGUAACGCGUAGGGAAUCUACCUUUUUGUGGGGAAUAACGCUCCGAAAGGAGUGGUAAUACCGCAUGAGACCGUGAGCUGGGAUGUUCACGGUGAAACCUGGGGACCGCAAGGCCUGGGGCAAAAAGAGGAUCCUGCGUCUGAUUAGCUAGUUGGCGGGGUAAUGGCCCACCAAGGCGACGAUCAGUAGCCGGCCUGAGAGGGUGAUCGGCCACACUGGAACUGAGACACGGUCCAGACUCCUACGGGAGGCAGCAGUGGGGAAUUUUGCGCAAUGGACGAAAGUCUGACGCAGCAACGCCGCGUGGGUGAUGAAGGUCUUCGGACUGUAAAACCCUGUCGUCAGGGACGAAGGUGGCAGUGUUAAUAGCGCUGUUACUUGACGGUACCUGGAGAGGAAGCCCCGGCUAACUCUGU
rnacentral:rRNA from 1 species